UACGUAGGGUGCGAGCGUUGUCCGGAAUCACUGGGCGUAAAGGGCGCGUAGGCGGCCUGCUAAGUAGAGGGUGAAAUCCUGCGGCUCAACCGCAGGGCUGCCUUCUAAACUGUCAGGCUGGAGCACGGUAGAGGCAGAUGGAAUUCCCGGUGUAGCGGUGGAAUGCGCAGAGAUCGGGAAGAACACCAGUGGCGAAGGCGGUCUGCUGGGCCGUUGCUGACGCUGAGGCGCGACAGCGUGGGGAGCAAACAGG
rnacentral:rRNA from 1 species